UAGGGAAUCUUCCACAAUGGACGAAGUCUGAUGGAGCAACGCGCGUGAGUGAAGAAGGGCUUCGGCUCGUAAAACUCUGUUGUUAAAGAAGAACAUAUCUGAGAGUAACUGUUCAGGUAUUGACGGUAUUUAACCAGAAAGCCACGGCUAACUACGUGCCAG
rnacentral:rRNA from 1 species